UACGUAGGGUGCGAGCGUUAAUCGGAAUUACUGGGCGUAAAGCGUGCGCAGGCGGUUUUGUAAGCCAGAUGUGAAAGCCCCGGGCUUAACCUGGGAAUGGCAUUUGGGACUGCAAGGCUUGAGUGCGGCAGAGGAGACGUGGAAUUCCUGGUGUAGCAGUGAAAUGCGCAGAUAUCAGGAGGAACACCAAUGGCGAAGGCAGCA
rnacentral:rRNA from 1 species